UACGUAGGGUCCGAGCGUUGUCCGGAUUUAUUGGGCGUAAAGAGCUCGUAGGCGGCUCAGUAAGUCAGAUGUGAAAACUCAGGGCUCAACCCGGAGACGCCAUCUGAUACUGCUGUGGCUUGAGUCUGGUAGGGGAUCACGGAAUUCCUGGUGUAGCGGUGAAAUGCGCAGAUAUCAGGAGGAACACCAGUUGCGAAGGCAGCUCGCUGGAACGUAACUGACGCUGAGACGCGAAAGCGUGGGGAGCAAACAGG
rnacentral:rRNA from 1 species